rnacentral:rRNA from 1 species
GACGAACGCUGGCGGCGUGCUUAACACAUGCAAGUCGAACGAAGUGGCGAACGGGGGAGUAAUACGUGGGUAACCUGCCCUCCUUUUUGGGAUAAGCCUUGGAAACGGGGUCUAAUACCGACUAAAGGGGGAUGGGCUUGCGGACUAUCAGCUUGUUGGGGGGGUGAUGGGCUACCAAGGCGGUGACGGGUAGGCGGCCGGAGAGGGUGACUGGCCAUAUGAGGCGUGAGAGACGGCUACGAUUCCCACGAGUGGAGGCAGUGGGGGAGAUUGCACAAUGCGCGAAAGGCUGAGGCGUCUACGCCGCGUGGGGGAUGGAGGCUUUCGGGUUGUAAACCUCUGUCGCUAUCGAACGGGUAGGUGGAGAAGAAGCGCCGGCUAACUACGUGCCAGCAGCCGCGGUAAUUC